rnacentral:rRNA from 1 species
GGCGUAAGCGCGGCGUAGGGCGGCUUGAUAAGCCGGUUGUGAAAGCCCCGGGCUCAACCUGGGAACGGCAUCCGGAACUGUCAGGCUAGAGUGCAGGAGAGGAAGGUAGAAUUCCCGGUGUAGCGGUGAAAUGCGUAGAGAUCGGGAGGAAUACCAGUGGAGAAGGCGGCCUUCUGGACUGACACUGACGCUGAGGUGCGAAAGCGUGGGUAGCAAACAGGAUUAGAUACCCUGGUAGUCCACGCCGUAAACGAUGUCGACUAGCCGUUGGGUCCUUCGCGGACUUUGUGGCGCAGUUAACGCGAUAAGUCGACCGCCUGGGGAGUACGGCCGCAAGGUUAAAACUCAAAUGAAUUGACGGGGGCCCGCACAAGCGGUGGAGCAUGUGGUUUAAUUCGAUGCAACGCGAAGAACCUUACCUACCCUUGACAUCCUGCGAAACCCUUCGGAGACGAAGGGGUGCCUUCGGGAGCGCAGAGACAGGUGCUGCAUGGCUGUCGUCAGCUCGUGUUUGUGAAAUGUUGGGUUAAGUCCCGUAACGAGCGCAACCCUUGUCCCUAUUUGCCAGCGAUUCGUCGGGAACUCUAGGAGACUGCCGGGUGACAAACCCGGAGGAAAGGUGGGGGACGACGUCAAGUCAUCAUGGCUCUUUACGGUAGGGGCUAACACACGUGCUAACAAUGGUCAGUUACAAAGGGUUUGGCGAAACUUUGCGAAGGUGGAGCAUCCAGGAAAGCUGAUCUCAGUCCGGAUCGAGUCUGCCACUCGACUCCGUUGAGUCGGGAUUCGCUAGUGAUCGUGAAUCCAGAA